rnacentral:rRNA from 1 species
UACGGGGGGGGCAAGCGUUGUUCGGAAUUAUUGGGCGUAAAGGGCGCGUAGGCGGUGUGGCAAGUCAGGUGUGAAACCUCUAAGCUCAACUUAGAGCUUGCAUCUGAAACUGCCGUGCUAGAGUGUGGGAGAGGAGAGUGGAAUUCCUGGUGUAGCGGUGAAAUGCGUAGAUAUCAGGAGGAACACCGGUGGCGAAGGCGGCUCUCUGGACCACAACUGACGCUGAGGCGCGAAAGCUAGGGGAGCAAACAGG